rnacentral:rRNA from 1 species
ACAGGCUUAACACAUGCAAGUCGAGGGGCAGCGGGGUAGUAAGCUUGCUUACUACUGCCGGCGACCGGCGCACGGGUGAGUAACACGUAUGCAACCUGGCCGUCACAGAGGGAUAACCGGGAGAAAUCCCGCCUAAUACCGCAUAAUACCGGGGAAGGACAUCCUUUUCCGGUCAAAGGAGCGAUCCGGUGACGGAUGGGCAUGCGCCGCAUUAGUUAGUUGGCGGUGUAACGGACCACCAAGACGACGAUGCGUAGGGGUUCUGAGAGGAAGGUCCCCCACACUGGUACUGAGACACGGACCAGACUCCUACGGGAGGCAGCAGUGAGGAAUAUUGGUCAAUGGGCGAGAGCCUGAACCAGCCAAGUCGCGUGAGGGAAGACGGUCCUAUGGAUUGUAAACCUCUUUUGCCGGGGAGCAAAAAGCGGUACGUGUACCGCAUCGAGAGUACCCGGAGAAAAAGCAUCGGCUAACUCCGUGCCAGCAGCCGCGGUAAUACGGAGGAUGCGAGCGUUAUCCGGAUUUAUUGGGUUUAAAGGGUGCGCAGGCGGCGAGUUAAGUCAGCGGUAAAAUUUCGGGGCUCAACCCCGACGAGCCGUUGAAACUGGCUUGCUAGAGUGGGCGAGAAGUAUGCGGAAUGCGUGGUGUAGCGGUGAAAUGCAUAGAUAUCACGCAGAACUCCGAUUGCGAAGGCAGCAUACCGGCGCCCAACUGACGCUCAGGCACGAAAGCGUGGGUAUCGAACAGGAUUAGAUACCCUGGUAGUCCACGCAGUAAACGA